UGUAAGAGAAAGAGAAAGAAAAGGAUAAGAAGAGUAGGUAGUAAGAGAAAAAGAGUUAUCAGAAAGAAAGAAAAGAAGAAAGGGAAGAGUAGAGAAGAGGAAAAGAGAAGAAAGAAGAAGAGAGAAAGAAGGAAGAAAGGCUUGGAGGAGAAAAGGAAAAACUAAUCAUCACCAUUUUCUACUCAUCAUCCUCACCAACUUCAUCUUAUUCUUCUACUAGUUGUAAUUGAACAUGGUUGUUGAGGUUGUUAAGAACAUGUGUUUAUGAGGUUGAGGAGUCCUUGAGUGUUGGUUGCUGAUGGUUUAAUUCUAUCUACUUUUUCAAAAGACAUUCUAAAGGCAGAAUUGAAUGCAGUACACUCAGAGCCUAUUCAAAUUCUUCAAGGUUGGGUUGAAAGUUUUUUCAACUCUAUUAAAAAGUGUGACGUGAAAAAGUUUCGAAAACAAGUAUAUCCAACUGGGUUUCAAUGGUACCUUUAUCCAAUUCAGGUUCGACAGUGAGUUCUGGC